CCUACGGGGGGCAGCAGUGAGGAAUAUUGGUCAAUGGACGCAAGUCUGAACCAGCCAUGCCGCGUGCAGGAAGACGGCUCUAUGAGUUGUAAACUGCUUUUGUACGAGGGUAAACGCAGAUACGCGUAUCCGUCUGAAAGUACCGUACGAAUAAGGAUCGGCCAACGCCGUGCCAGCAGCCCCGGUAAGACGGAGGAUUCAAGCGUUAACCGGAUUUAAUGGGUUUAAAGGGUGCGGAGGCGGUCGGAUAAGUUAGAGGUGAAGUCCCGAGGCUCAACUUCGGAAUUGACUCUGAUACUGGCCGGCGAGAGAGUAGUAGAGGUAGGCGGAAUGUAUGGUGUAGCGGUGAAAUGCUUAGAGAUC
rnacentral:rRNA from 1 species